UUAUCGGAGAGUUUGAUCCUGGCUCAGGACGAACGCUGGCGGCGUGCCUAAUACAUGCAAGUCGAGCGGACAGAUGGGAGCUUGCACC
rnacentral:rRNA from 1 species